AUGUUUCACAUCAGGCCUAGUUCAGUAAACUUAUUUUUCAUUCACAAUCCAUUCAAAACAUUCCUCUCAAACCAUUCUCAGCAAGUACACACAGCUGGUCCAAAGGGCACUUUCCAGACAGAUCUCACUACGUACAACUUCAUCAUACAAGAUUUCGACACAGCCAGUUACUGGCACCAGACUGAGCAGAAAGUCUGUUGCUGCCACUAAUCCCAGUCAACAGCUUUUUUAACACCAGGGAAAAAUUUUGCAGGGAAGGUCAAUACCCAAGGUCUUACGGAAUUGCUGACCAGAAGCUGCCCAUCUAAAUGAAAAUGAGGGAACUUCACAUGGAUUUGUUUGUUUGCCAAACAGAAGAACCCAACUUCUGCAAACAGGGGUUAGGACGAGAAAUUCCUAACAAGGACAAGAAAUCAGUCUGGGAUGAUGAGCAGCUGCAGUCCUGUGAUUACAGAACUUGGAGACCACUGGCUUGGGGCACCGAUGAGGAGGAGAAAUGUGGAAAGGACUGAGAAAGAAAAAAGUACCUCAUAAAUUUCCCAGCUGAUCCGUUGGAUUGGCACACAAACUGCCUGGAAAGGUUGUGGCAGAGCCAUUGGCAUGAAUACAAAACAGAAUGUUUACUUUAAUAGGAAAAAAACAUCCAACAACCAGAAAAGAAGUGAUGCAGCUGUAUUGUUCUACCCAUUAAAUUACAUUAACAGCAAUUCAAAAGGUGCACUCCAGGCCUUUGCUGGCACCAAGCUCUUUUAUUCAUUAAUCUUCUUAAUGUAGCCAAUGAACUUUAGAAUUAAAGAAUAUGUUGUGGGUUCU